CAAUAGCGUAUAUUAAAGUUGUUGCGGUUAAAAGCUCGUAGUUGGAUUUCUGCGGGGGACGAACGGUCUACCUUAUGGGUAAGUAUCUGUCAGGCCCUUGCAUCCUCGUGGAGAACGUCGCUGCGCUUCAUUGCGUGGUACGGAAUUCACGACUUUUACUUUGAGGAAAUUAGAGUGUUCACGGCAAGCAAACGCUUUGAAUAUGUUAGCAUGGAAUAAUAAAAUAGGACUUUGGCCCUAUUUUGUUGGUUUCUAGGACUAAAGUAAUGAUUAAUAGGGACAGUUUGGGGGCAUUCGUAUUACGGCGUCAGAGGUGGAAUUCUUGGAUUGCCGUACGACGAACUACUGCGAAAGCAUUUGCCAAGGAUGUUUUCAUUGAUCAAGAACGAAAGUAUGGGGAUCGAAGAUGAUCAGAUACCGU
rnacentral:rRNA from 1 species